AACGAACGCUGGCGGCAUGCCUAACACAUGCAAGUCGAACGAGACCUUCGGGUCUAGUGGCGCACGGGUGCGUAACGCGUGGGAACCUGCCCUUAGGUUCGGAAUAACUCCCCGAAAUGGGUGCUAAUACCGGAUAAUGUCUUCGGACCAAAGAUUUAUCGCCUUUGGAUGGGCCCGCGUUGGAUUAGCUAGUUGGUAGGGUAAAAGCCUACCAAGGCGACGAUCCAUAGCUGGUCUGAGAGGAUGAUCAGCCACACUGGGACUGAGACACGGCCCAGACUCGUACGGGAGGAAGCAGUGGGGAAUAUUGGAAAAUGGGCGAAAGCAUGAUCAAGCAAUGCCGCGUGAGUGAUGAAGGCCUUAGGGUUGUAAAGCUCUUUUACCCGGGAUGAUAAUGACAGUACCGGGAGAAUAAGCUCCGGCUAACUCCGUG
rnacentral:rRNA from 1 species